rnacentral:sRNA from 1 species
ACACAGGGAAGGAGGUGGUCCGCGAAUUGAGUACUUCAUGGACAUGUGAGGUGGCUACGCGCUAGCUGCAUUGGCUCGGAAGAGCUGGCGUUACGCGCGCUGGCGAAUCCCCCGUAGCCACCCGGCCCCCGAGCUUUCGGUCUGUCCAACCGGAACUUCGCUCGGGGGCCGCUCCAU